rnacentral:rRNA from 1 species
AUUGAACGCUGGCGGCAGGCCUAACACAUGCAAGUCGAACGAGUGGCGGACGGGUGAGUAAUGUCUGGGAAACUGCCUGAUGGAGGGGGUUAACUACUGGAAACGGUAGCUAAUACCGCACACCAUCAGAUGUGCCCAGUUGGGAUUAGCUAGUUGGUGGGGUAAAGGCUCACCAAGGCGACGAACCCUAGCUGGUCUGAGAGGAUGACCAGCCACACUGGAACUGAGACACGGUCCAGAAUCCUACGGGAGGCAGCAGUGGGGAAUAUUGCACAAUGGGCGAAAGCCUGAUGCAGCCAUGCCGCGUGUAUGAAGAAGGCCUUCGGGUUGUAAAGUACUUUCAGCGGGGAGGCGUUACCCACAGAAGAAGCACCGGCUAACGCCGUGCCAGCAGCCGCGGUAAUAC